rnacentral:RNase_P_RNA from 1 species
CUGCUACGGCAGAGGAAACUCCUCCCUCCAUACAGGAAAUGUGAUCCGGAGAUGGAUAAUCAGAGAUGGUUGGCAACGGAGCAGAAAAGAAUCUAACCUGGCGCACGAUGAUGGCAAAACCUGAGAUUUCCAGAGAAGGAAUGAAAAAGACGUCCCACAUGGAGCAAAGCCAAACAGAACUAUAGGAUCCUGUACCAAGUUCAGGUAGGCUGCAAAGCGUAA